rnacentral:rRNA from 1 species
UACGUAGGGUCCGAGCGUUGUCCGGAAUUACUGGGCGUAAAGAGCUCGUAGGUGGUUUGUCGCGUUGUUCGUGAAAACUCACAGCUCAACUGUGGGCGUGCGGGCGAUACGGGCAGACUGGAGUACUGCGGAGGAGACUGGAAUUUACGGUGUAGCGGUGAAAUGCGUAGAUAUCGUACGGAAGACCAGUGGCGAAGGCGGGUCUCUGGACAGUUCCUGACGCUGAGGCACGAAGGUCAGGGGAGCAAACGGG